GCUACUGCAGCUGCUCUAGCUGCUGUAGCUGCUCCAGCUGUUCCAGCUGUGGUUACCAAAGCUGGAGAAAUACAAACCCGAAGGAAAGAUGCUGUUGAAAUACAUGACUGGGAGCUGAGAAAGGUACCAAGUUCUGUAUCUCUAGUGAUAAAUGUACUGUACCAAGCCCCACCUACCUCUUCAGAUGAAGAUAUGCAUGAAGAGGAGGAGGAGGGAGCAGUGGUGGAGGUGGAGGCGGCAGAG